AAUCAAAUUAAAUUAACUUUCAAGACUUUUAAACUAUAAUUUUCUAAAUCAGUAAUAAUCAAUCCGUGGCUAAUUGGACAUUUAAAAGCAGCCCAUGUAGUUCUAAAAGCAAGUGUGACAAUACAUAUUAUUUCUAAAUUUUUCAUUGAUGAUAAAAUUGAAGAACCUAAGAGGGAAGUAAAGCAUUAUAAGAUAUUUAUAACAUUGUUUGAGGAAGAUAGAUUAAGAUAAAUUAAAAGGAGAGAAGCCUAGCCCUUCUGCUUACUUUGCAAUAUGAUCUUGGGGAAGUUGUUGACCUUAUCUUAGUCUCUGUUCAUCAUCUACAAAAUUGGAUAAUAAGGAUUUAUACUUCCAAAAUAAUUUUCUCCUAGUCCUCCCUAAGUUCAAGCACUAAGUACAACAAUCCUAGAAAUUAUAUAUGAUACUUACAUAUAUAAAUACAUACAUAAGACAUAUAUAAUAUAUAUAACAUAUAUAUAUACACACACAUAUAUAUCUAUCUAGCAAACAUAAGAAAACCCAUGAGUGAAGAGAAGAAACCAGCUAGAAACUUCAGGACCCAUGGAACAAUACAGUGAACACAGUGGCUAUGAUAGAGGCAGCCCAGAAAGAACAGAAACUCUUCGGCCCUAAUGGCUCUACUUUAGCUAAACACCAUGGAAAAAAACUAUGACCUCAACAUUAUCCAUGACAACAAACACCUUGUGGGGAAGCAAAAAGAUUACCUUCACCAGGGUGUAACAAAUCACCACAACCUUCCCACCAUAUCGUGUCAGAGAAGACUGAGUAGAUAACUAGGACUUUCAACCCCACUAGGGUGUAACAAGCACUCCCUUACUGCACUGUUACACUCCCUUUCUCUGUUGGAGAGAUGUUAGUGAAAGCCAGGUAAGCAGAAUAUUUCAAAAAGACCCACAGUCUCACAGUACAAAAUUGUAAAUGUCUGAAAAUAAAAUAAUGCAUCUGAAGAUCAGUAGAAUCUUGAAACAAAUGAAAAAAAUAAAACCAAUAUAUGCUAAUGAAGCAGGAGAUGUAAAAUAAAAAAAGGAAGAAAAACAAGUUUUCUAUCCUGGGCUGUCUCACUCUAAGGCAGGGCUCUGUCAGGGCUUUGACAGCACUAUUAGCAGAGCCGGGGGGGCAGAAGGAAUGGGUUCCAGGAGCAGGGAUGAGAAAAACAAGUUAUUCUUAUCAGUUUCCCCCUUUUGAAUUCUUUCCCCGUACUAUUAUUCUUUGUUCUGCUGUCAUAACUAUUUUUUAACUACUUCUGUAAGUUUGUAAGGAUUUUGUAAGUUCCUGUUUUCUCAUCUGUGCAGUAUGAUGAAGGUCACAAGACAUUCCUGAGUUGCAACACCUGUCACUGUUUGAUAAACUGCCUUUGUUCUGCUUCUGUAAGCUUGCUUGCCCGCCCUGCAGGUUUUGCACCACUAACUGGCCAACCCCCUUCGGUUGCAUGUAUAAAAGUCAGGCCCUGUCUUUGUUUGGGGCUUAGCCUUUGGAUGUUAAUCUGCUGACCUGGUGGCCACCUAAUAAAAUCCUCCUGUCCCA
rnacentral:lncRNA from 10 species